ACUGAAGAUUUACAAAAUAUUUUAAUUCAAGCUGUGAUUUAAGUUAAAAAAAGAAAAAAUACAGCUUUCCCUUCACAUCAUGCCAGCCCAUUUCUUCUGGGCUCUUACCCAAAAAUAAGGCUCUGACUUUUGAUGGAACAAAGCUAACAAAGCCUCAACGCACCGUUUCUCGUUUUAUCCUUCACAAACAAACGAAUUUGGUGAUCGUCGCCGUGGGUUCUCUACUGAAAGUGAAAAACCAAGAAGAAAAGGGACAGAAAAAGAAGUGAAGAAGAAAUAACAAAGCUGGAAUUUCUUCAAAAUUCAAGAACUAGCUCAUCCCUUUUAGCUUCUCAUUAUGGAUUAUUUGAAAACGGUUAUUCCUUCUCAACUCCUCCUGGUUCGUGGCUCCAAUCUCGUCAUCAUCAACCCCGGCGCUGCAAAUGUAAGAGUAGGGUUGGCAAAGGAAGAAGCUUCAUUGAUGAAUGUUUUGCUAAUAUUGAUGUUGGUGAAAUUUGUUUAUGCCCAUUAGCUUAAAGGGAUAUAUCAAGAUGCCUUCUUUGGACUCAGAGGCAUCAUCAGACAUGGCCCCAAAUUCGUACUGACAUUUUGACAAAGCCUAUAGAUCUAUUGAUGCUGAACAGGCUAAAAGAGUCCUAUUGUGAAAUCCAGGAGGGUGAACUUGAUGCUGUAGCUAUAGUUCAUUCUUAUGAGGAUGCCAUGCCUGCUGGAUCUCAUAAGACAAGGCUAACUGCUCUCAAUGUUUCAUGACUAUGAAGAUACGCUUGAAGAAACAUGGCAUAUUGAAUUCCCAAGAAGAUCUGACAUGCCAGAUGGUCUAUAUCCUGGCAUUAAUGUUGGUUUACCAAUGUGGGAUAACUACCCAUUUUUUUCAAUGAAACAAAGAAAGAAGAGAAGUUGGUCUGGCAGAAGCGAUAACCAGUAGCAUUCUUUUUAACUGUCGCAUAGACCUGCAAAGAAAAUUGUUCUGUAGCGUACAAUUGAUUGGUGGAGUGGCUUUAACUGGUGGACUAUUUCCUGCUGUGGAGGAGACAUCUUACAUGCCAUUCCUUCAACUGAAGUAAUUGAUACUGUUGAGGUUUUGCAAUCGAGAACAAAUCCAACUUUUGUGUCUUGGAAGGGCGGAGCUAUCCUCGAAGUUUUAGAUUUUGGUCGAGAUGCUUGGAUACAUCGAGAGGACUGGAUCCGCAAUGGGAUUCACAUUGGGAGUGGCAGAAAAUGUUAAGGAUUCUUAUUCCAUCAAGCACAGUCCGUGUGUUACAUAAACUCCUAGAAGACGGUGGAUAGGAGGACUUCUCUAAGUAAUGUUCAUCUUCAAGCUUGAAGAUAACAUUUUUGUUGGAAACCUGUUAGUAAACAAUAAUUAAAUUUGAGAAAAUUAUAAUAGAUUUCCAUUCGCAGGUAUUUGAUAUUUUUCUUAACAAAGAGACCAACAGAACUGCAUGCAUGAGAUUCCAAGUAAAGGUAAGGCAGAUGAAAACCAAGCUUUCACUUCCUUGCGAUCGAAUCUGCUUCUUUGGCUUCCUUCCCUUUGAACCAUUGCAGAAAAUAAAAAAGGUAUUGAUACCUCUAAGCUUAAGAAAUGAAGCGAAUGGGAAUUCUAAGGAAUCACAAAAUUUGGAGUA